CUGUCGUUAAUAAGUUAAAUUAUUAUUAACAAUGGCUUUAGUGAUGUAAGUUAGUCGUCACUAAUAAUAUACCCUAAAAAUCCCCUCAAAUCUCGAUGGGCUUGGUUCUACUUGCCACUGCCUGCCCUUUCUUCCUCUUCGCCUCUCCUUUCUCUUCAUUCUCCAGUCCCCCUUCUCCCCUACUGCACCGUCGGAGCCUCCGACCUCCUCCUCCCAACCCCCGC
rnacentral:lncRNA from 1 species